UUUUUUUUUUUUUUAUUUUAAUAAUAAUUUUGUACUGUAAUGUGAAAAGUAUAGUUUAAAUGUCCCUUUAGCAUAUAACCAUUACUUCAUUUCUAGCAAAAAAAGAGCUUUUAAGUCUCGCAUUGUUCUACAGCUUGUGAACACUUUGCAUUGAAUGCGCCAAUAGGGACAAUUUUAAAGGGUUUUUUUAAAAUAAAUAUGUUGUUAAACAAAAAUUAUAAUUUAAUUCUUGUUUAUUUUGAUCAUUAACAGUUUUAGUGGUUAUACAAGAUCACUGCAACUAUGCAUGACAAUUAUGUAACUUGUUUGGAAAGCAAGGUGAAGGAGGAUCAGUGAUACUGGUACACCUACUGGUCAUAAAUACUAGUGACAUACAGGUAAUAGUAGAAAAAACUUCAAAGCAAAAUACCAUUAAUUUUCCAGUGGCUAAUUUUCUUUCACAGUUUUUAUGUUGUACAGUUGCCCAUACUUGGAGGUACCUGUGUGUACCUUCAUUACCUGGUGGGUUUAUGUGUGGUAAGGCUCAAAUUAACAUUUUGUGUAAUCCUACUUUAUCUGUACUAGCAGCUUGACAUAUGUGAGACAUUUCUUUCCCCUGCAAUUUCACUGAAGGGUGGAGAAGGUCACUGCUUCUGAGGGUGGGGAUGGCUCCUUUGGCCAGUUCCCCCUCAAGCAGCAGCCAUGCUUUGUUCAGCACAUUUGGAGGGUGUACAGGAGGGUGUACAGGCUUUAUGCCUUGGAAGUAUUCCCAGAGAAUCCCAGGAAAUGAGCUCUCCUCCCAGCCUGACAUGGUGCCAUACCCCUCUCCCAGUUGUCCUUGGUCUUUGGAACCCGUGAAGGCAGGGGUUUGUACAGUGACCGUGAAGCUAUGGCCAGAACUUGGCUACCAACUGGCAGAAUAAACUUGUCUCCAUAACAAGUAGUGUUAAUAUAAGAUAAUUUAGAUUGAACUGCUUUCCUCAUAUAUAAAUCAUUAACCAGUGGCUAGUUCUCACUCCCACCGGCACUACGUUUCUUAUGACUUCAGUAUGACAAAGGCUUUUCCACCCACAUGAUACUCAAUGACCCAUGCCUAAUGGGGUUUGAGUUUGUUGGUUGGGUUUGUGUUUUGCAGGUGGAAUGUUCUUAUUUCAGCAAUUUGCAAGGACAACCAAAACUGGCUCUGGUCUGCUUUGUGGAAAGUGAAGGAAUUUAUGUCACACAGUUGCUCUCUCACAUACUUACCACUCAAAUAACUCACUGCAAAGUGAGGUAGGUAAUACGCCAUUCCUUGGCUUGUGAUGAUUUACAAGGCGCUCUGAAAGCUGAUAUGCACUCAAAGGAAGCACCGCCGCUCAUUUCCAGUGGCACGAGAACGCGUCAUUUCCCUUCACUAUGCUGCAAACACAUUAAUUCUGAAUCACAUGCUCAAGAGAAAUUACACUGAAAUGAGCACACAUGCAAACUGAAAGAGGAGAGGCCAAGUGCCAGAAUGCUGAGCUAUAAAAUUUCUCUUCAAAAGUAGAAAACAACUCUCUAGAACUACUCAAAGAAAAUGAGAAAGUAGGUGUGACCUUUGAUCAAAGACUUACGGUUCUACAGUCCACUCUGGUUGAAGUGGCCCGAUGAGUGAACGUAACAAGGGGCUGGUUUUCCACUGAAUGCAGAGAAUGGACACUUCAGAAAACACAGCUGCUCUGACUUUGCUGUUGACAUACAGCUGAAGUAGCCCAAUACAGGUUUUCCACACCUGAGUCACUUUAUCCUUCUUUCUCUAGUUGUUUAGAAUUUGCAUUUUAGAUUGUUAUCAUGCAUGCUACCAUGUCUGUCUGACAUGGGGUUGCACAGGGGACUGAAUAGUGUGAUGCCCCCACCUUUGUUGCUCUUGUCACUAUGCAAGACCAAUCUGUUCUGACAGUGUCCUCCCAGCCAAGGGAGUAGAGCUCUGUGGAUAAGGAAAUUGUCUCCCAAAGCUGACUCACGAAUGUGGACAAACCUGAAAUAGGUUGUACUUAAACUUCUGUGAAUGCUAUCCAACCAGCUGGUAAAGGACACUGCACUGCUGUGCUGGAGGGUUUUGCUGACACCCUGCAGGGCUUUAACCUCCUGCUGCCCUUCCUUAAGGGUAAACUCUGAAUUGUAUUUCCUUGAGAAUUCCCAUGGGCUGUAUUCUGUGUACCAGAACUCCUGCUUUCUCCUCCCUCUCUGUUUUUGGUGGCACCAGUUCCUCCUCAGGCCUGCAAGUACUGCUGAAUGUUGUUAACCUGUCCUCAGUGUCAGCCUGCACAUAACCAAAUCAGUGAUGGAAAAAAUGAGCCUACAUGUUUUUUUCCAGGAAGUCUGACAGCAGUUCCCAGUCUCAUGCAGGUGAACACUUUCUCACGCCAGUAACUCAUUAGGACAGCAAGUGUGAUCUCAGCUCUUUCACAAUGAUGUUUAUAGCCUGUGCCACUGUUUGUAAGAACUGUUCUGAAUGGUAGCUGGCUGCUGAUCUUUAACAGCACUUCUGCACUCCCAUUUUUACUUUUUCUAGCCUGUUUUAUUUCUCGUUCUUGGGCUCUGGCACACUUCAGUCACCAUACCAUCCCAAAAUCAUCAUCAAGGCCUCCUAAAAUCCAGUACUGAACCAUGUCCUCCAUCAGCCUGCUAAUGAAAAUCCUUGUCACUCAUAGGAUCACCAUGUCAGUUUAAGCAAAGGAACAGCCACAGCUUUGGCUGAGAAGUGUUUGGUCAGGUUUUCUAAGAUCUUGAAGAACUAAUUUAAUAAAUCCUUGCUUGCUUGUAUAACUGCAUCUUCCAUCUUCUACCACGCUUUUCAUUAUGUCACUUGGAUACAAAUGCAUGUGGUUUUAAUGUGAAGUUAAAUCCUUGAGCUGCAGUGAAAUAAUUACCUUUGCCCUUGAAUUCCUUGCUACCAUACAAUCUAGUUUUUAUAGAGCUAAGAGUUAAAGCAAUAGUGACAACUGAAAAUACUUGAAGCAAGUGGGUAUUUGGUCACCAUCGAAAGCCAGCCUUAGUCAUACAUAUAUAAACUUUUGGGCUUGGGGAGUACAGGUAAAUAGCAUAGCAAAGAUACUGUGUCCCACAAACAAACAUUUGUACCUACAGUUAUUGGUGCUGAGUCAGGAUUCCUGAAAAUAAUCUCUGAAGAAAAUACUGCCAACAAUAAAUAACCUGCAGUUUUUAGAUGUUAAACUUCUGGUAAAACACUGGUUUGUUACACCUGCACCCCUCCACUCAGAUGUAUCAAUGAAUUAUACCAAGAUGUAACCCGUUUCAGCCUGUUUGGAAGAACAGUCUCUUAAGGGCUCUAUGUUCUCUCCUCUCUGAACAUUUUUGUAUGUAACCAAACGGAAGUUAAACAUGCAAAUCCUCACCUUUGCAGCGAGAGUUCAUCCUUACUCCUGCCCUACAAUCCCUAGUGGUACCAGCAAGGGCUGUGGCACAUUUACCUCGCAGUGAUUCUGGGUGCAAGGCUGAGAAGCAGCCAGUGCUGCAGCACAAGGAAGGCUGGGAACAUGGGCAGAAGGUUGGUUUUCCCUUAUUUCCUGUACCUUAAGUGUGAUGUAUUCUGGUGUGUUUGCCUGGGAACAGAGCAGAGCAACCUGCAGGUGGGUUAAAGUGUUAAAAUUAAGGUAGAGUGGGCUGGUAACUUCUGUUUCUAGUUAUGUCAUUUCUUGAAUGGCUUUAAGUACCUUGCCUUUCCCAGGGGGAUAUGUCCAAAGCUCUAGUUUGAAGGUCAGGGUGUGUUCUCCUUUUGAACCAAGCAAUUUUUGAUGGAAUAACAUUCCAGCUUCUGUGAGCAACCAGUCACUGGCCUCCAUGGAUCUUCUUCCCAUCUCACUCACUUCAAUGGCGCCAGGAGGCUUUAAACUGCAGUGAUUUCUGAAAUGGCUUUUUGUCAUCAUCCCCUCUCAGCAAGGUAAAUGAGGUUUGCUUUCACCUGAAAAUAGAAGACAAAUAAAAAGUUUUUUACAACUGGAAAUGGUAAAAUAUUUUUGUGCUUUUGGGCCUUUUUAUUGACUCAGUCCCUUUCAGAAAGGAUCUUUUGUGUGCUGCCCUUGUUCUGUGUGCGGGUGACACCUGGCUGGCCUCUCCUUCCUGGGGAUAGGAACAUCUGCUGCUCCUCGGGCAGGCCUGUGUCUGCUCUUGGGAGACAGGCCAACCCUGAGGCUCUGAGCAGGCUCUAGAGAGAGGAUGGUGUGAAAAUACAGGGCAGG
ensembl:lncRNA